UUGUUGGAAGCACUAGAUUGGAAAUUUAUGCAUGAAACAGAUCUGAAAAAAAAUUCUGAUUUGAUGAUCGAAGAUGUACAUAAUGAUGGUAAUCUCAUCUCCAAACAGGAGUCAAGUUGAAAAUCACGAUGGCAGUCUUUGGUUAGGGAGGAAAAUGAGUUUCUCAAUAUUCAGGCUAUACAAAACCAACCUUUGGGUUGGGGAGGGUAUGCUCUAAAAUGCAAACUUCAGAACCUAAAACAUAGACUAAAAUCCUGGAGUAGAGAUAUUUGUGGAGAUCUAGGCAGCAAGGUGAAGCAAACUCAGAAUAGGUCACUGCAAGGAAGGCAUAGUAUUUUUUAUAUGUACGGAAGACUUAAUGCCCCACGACACUUUGGGAAUGAUAAUAGAAAUUAUUUGCCAUCAUCUGUGUUUAUGGAACAAACACCUUAUGAAAUCAGUGCUCAUGGCUCUUCAAGAUUACACCCGACAGCACUCUUCAAUAGUAAAAUGAUGAUAAGAUCAAGUUCAGGGUGGGACAAAGAUUUAUAUAAUUGUCAGUCA